rnacentral:rRNA from 1 species
CAGUAGCCGCGGGAAUACGUAGGUCCCGGGCGUUGUCCGGAUUUAUUGGGCGUAAAGCGAGCGCAGGCGGUUAGAUAAGUCUGAAGUUAAAGGCUGUGGCUUAACCAUAGUAUGCUUUGGAAACUGUUUAACUUGAGUGCAGAAGGGGAGAGUGGAAUUCCAUGUGUAGCGGUGAAAUGCGUAGAUAUAUGGAGGAACACCGGUGGCGAAAGCGGCUCUCUGGUCUGUAACUGACGCUGAGGCUCGAAAGCGUGGGGAGCAAACAGGAUUAGAUACCCCCGUAGUCCCUGUCUCUUAUACA